rnacentral:rRNA from 1 species
UACGGGGGGGGCAAGCGUUGUCCGGAAUUAUUGGGCGUAAAGGGCUCGUAGGCGGUUUGUCGCGUCGGGAGUGAAAACCUUGGGCUUAACUCAGGGCUUGCUUUCGAUACGGGCAGACUAGAGGUAUGCAGGGGAGAACGGAAUUCCUGGUGUAGCGGUGAAAUGCGCAGAUAUCAGGAGGAACACCGGUGGCGAAGGCGGUUCUCUGGGCAUGAUCUGACGCUGAGGAGCGAAAGUGUGGGGAGCGAACAGG